rnacentral:tRNA from 1 species
AAGGGUGUAGCUCAGUGGUAGAGCGCAUACUUAACUUGCACGAGGUCCUGGGUUCAAUCCCCAGUACCUCCA